AAUCUUCCGCAAUGGACGAAAGUCUGACGGAGCAACGCCGCGUGAGUGAUGAAGGCUUUCGGGUCGUAAAACUCUGUUGUUAGGGAAGAACAAGUGCUAGUUGAAUAAGCUGGCACCUUGACGGUACCUAACCAGAAAGCCACGGCUAACUACGUGCCAGCAGCCGCGGUAAUACGUAGGUGGCAAGCGUUAUCCGGAAUUAUUGGGCGUAAAGCGCGCGCAGGUGGUUUCUUAAGUCUGAUGUGAAAGCCCACGGCUCAACCGUGGAGGGUCAUUGGAAACUGGGAGACUUGAGUGCAGAAGAGGAAAGUGGAAUUCCAUGUGUAGCGGUGAAAUGCGUAGAGAUAUGGAGGAACACCAGUGGCGAAGGCGACUUUCUGGUCUGUAACUGACACUGAGGCGCGAAAGCGUGGGGAGCAAACAGGAUUAGAUACCCUGGUAGUCCACGCCG
rnacentral:rRNA from 1 species